rnacentral:lncRNA from 1 species
UGAUGACUUUUAUUGGGGGAAGAGCUUUGCUUUAUACCUUCUGCUUCACUGCUGUGGGGGCAAACUCUCACUGAUGGCCUGUUGGGAUGUGGUCUGCUGCCCUUACUCAGGGUGCCUACCCUGGACCAUGUCCCCCAUCCCCUAGAGAACCAGACUUUUCCUGAUGAACCCCUCCCCUCAAGAGGUCCUUAGGAACAAAACUACUUCUUUGCUUCAAAAAUUGGGAAGAGACUUUGCUUUAAAGUGCUUUUAGAGGGGAAUUUGAGAGGGCCUAGGAAAUUUCUAAACCUGUAAGCUAGCUUCUGUGCAGUGAAAAGGAGGAGGGAGAUGGACAAUGACGUGGAUGAAAAAUAAAGGAAGACAGGUUAAUGCUUUAUCCAGAGCCAUGGGAAGCAUGGGACAAAUGGAACAAAGGACAGUGUACAUUUACACUGGGAACAUGAAUCUCCACCCUGCAGGACUUCCAAAGGUACAUCUCCCCUAAUGAUCCUCCACUGACCUAUGCUCUGGUGUAUCAUCAUCAUCAUGGCAAUCCUCUUUGGUACCUACCUUCUUCCUGUAAGGGAAAAUAUCAGAUCAUCUCUUUAAUUGGUAUAUUUGCACCAAGUUGGUGGAUAAUUCCACAGGAGUUCAAAGCAAGGGUAAAAAGAAGCUGAGGAUUUGCCAAUGAAAAUAUGAAAGGAAACAAAUAUUAACUGAACUUUGAAGACAGAUGUAAAAUGUAGAAUACCUUAAUUGUUUGUGUCAGUCAUUGUUAUGUCUUGGUAAAAAAAAAAACUCACAAAAUCUGUACAAAUCAGGUAAAGACACAUCAUUGUUAAUGUAGGCUAUGGUAGAGAGACAUAGAUUAAUUGAUAUUAUUCCUCUGUCAGUCAGGUGGGUUCUGAAUACAAAUAAUUUCCUGCCAAUAUAUAGGGAAUAGAAAGUAGAAAAAAUAGAGAACAGUUACUCUGAACCUCUGGAGGUGAGGCAGACUCAAACAAAUGUGUGGU